UACAGAGGGUGCGAGCGUUAAUCGGAAUUACUGGGCGUAAAGCGUGCGUAGACGGCUAUCUAAGUCGGGUGUGAAAGCCCCGGGCUCAACCUGGGAAUUGCAUUCGAGACUGAAUAGCUAGGGUACGGUAGAGGGAGGUGGAAUUUCCGGUGUAGCGGUGAAAUGCGUAGAUAUCGGAAGGAACACCAGUGGCGAAAGCGGCUUCCUGGUCCAGCACCGACGUUCAGGCACGAAAGCGUGGGGAGCAAACAGG
rnacentral:rRNA from 1 species